UAUAGACUUUGCUGAUUUAAGAUACUCCUGACGGCUGGCUCUGUGGCCAAGUGGUUAAGUUUGCGCACUCUGCUGCGGCGGCCCAGGGUUUGGAUCCUGGGCGCAGACAUAGCACCGCUCGUCAGGCCACGUUGAGGCGGUGUUCCACAUCCCACAACUAGAAGGACCUGCAACUAAGAUAUACAACUGUGUACAGGGGGCUUUGGGGAGAUAAAGCAGAAAAAAAUAAAUAAGUAAAAAUAAAUAAAUAAAAUACUCCUGAAAUAAGUAGUCAAAUUCCCCUUGCUAUGUUCGUUGUUAAAUUUACAUUUGGUUUUGACAAAUAAAAAUGGCAAGCAAUAGGAUAUAUUGGAGAAUAUGAGGAAGCCAUUUGGUAUAAACCUAAUUCGGCCUGACCUUGUCUUUCCAAAAGGGCCUGACCGUGGCUGUUGAGCAUGCAUUGUAUAUCUGCUUUAGAGAUUCCCUAUGGCAAGAGCAAAGGCCCUUGAGAUAAAGGCUAGAAACUGAUUGCUGCACUCACCUGUGACCGCCCAGCUCCAGACAAUAGACGCCUCCUGCUGCGCCCACCAAGAUGGCAGACCCACUACCUGCUGUGUCCAUCAAGCGCUGUGCCGACAGGGCAAUCUUGUGACUAUUGUGGGAGGGACAUUUCAAUCAUAUGUAAAGCACCCUCUUUGGGGGUAUAUAACCACUCUGUACACCUCAUUUCUUUGGUGCCCUUUCUUCCUUCAGGAAGAAAGGCCCCUGGCCAUGGUCCUCAGAUUUCGGCUCAGAAUAAACUCACCCAAAUUUUCAUUUACAGAUUGGUUAUGGAUUAUUUUCAUUGACAGUUUGCAUUAGCCUUUCUAUCUUCCCUGUGCCAAAUAAAAGCACAACACUGUACUGCUUAGUAUGUCAUUUGGGGAGUUAUUCAUCAGAUUCUGGUUACUCCUCCCAUCCUUGUUCCUCUGCUGCCACCCUCACCUACAGUCCUUGCCUCCAUCAUCUCUGGCCUGGACUGUUUCAAGAGCCUUCCAGCUGUUUGGCCACCCCUGGCACUCCAUCCUCUAUCAUCUUUCUCAGCCAGCAGCCGGCAUGAUCCUAUUGAAAGCCCCAAUACAUAGUUGUAUAGCCUAGUUGCAAGUCAUUCUAGUUCUACUAUGUGGGAUGCUGCCACAGCAUGGCCUGAUGAACAGUGCGUAGGUCCACACUCAGGAUCCAAACCAGUGAAC
rnacentral:lncRNA from 1 species